rnacentral:rRNA from 1 species
AACGAACGCUGGCGGCAGGCCUAACACAUGCAAGUCGAGCGGCAGCGCGGGGCAACCUGGCGGCGAGCGGCGGACGGGUGAGGAAUUCGUCGGAAUCUGCCUUUUUGUGGGGGAUAACGUAGGGAAACUUACGCUAAUACCGCAUACGACCUACGGGUGAAAGUGGGGGACCGCAAGGCCUCACGCAGAAAGAUGAGCCGACGACCGAUUAGCUAGUUGGUAGGGUAAAGGCCUACCAAGGCGACGAUCGGUAGCUGGUCUGAGAGGAUGAUCAGCCACACUGGGACUGAGACACGGCCCAGACUCCUACGGGAGGCAGCAGUGGGGAAUAUUGGACAAUGGGCGCAAGCCUGAUCCAGCCAUGCCGCGUGUGUGAAGAAGGCCUUCGGGUUGUAAAGCACUUUUGUCCGGAAAGAAAUCCUUCAACUUAAUACGUUGGGGGGAUGACGGUACCGGAAGAAUAAGCACCGGCUAACUUCGUGCCAGCCGCCGCCGUAA